UAACACGGGGUGCUCGCAAUUUGCGUGCUGAGAUCAUACCCGAGAACCUGAUCCGGAUAAUGCCGGCGUAGGAAAAG
rnacentral:ncRNA from 1 species